GUCCGGGGGCCUGUGACCCGGAGGCGCUGGGGCUGUCCUGGGUCGUCACAUGCGAGAAAUCGUCUCACCCCAGCCAGUGUGACGGAGUGAGAGCAAAAGAAAGUUUUGAUAGCAGCGUACGAUUUAUAUUCAGCUGUAUGCUGGGCAGGUCCAACUUGGCAUUUCUUGGCUGUAUCUCUGAAGGAAAGUCAUCUUAAUCUCUAUGAGCCUCCAUUUCCUCAGCUGUAAAAUGGGAAGAUCUUCCUCACACUGCUGUGCAACAACAUUUACCCCUUCUGAAACUCACCCAGAGGAAGCGGAUUUUCUGACGCAUAUGAAGAGUGAGAACUGUCUACAUCUAAGUCUUCUUUGAGAACAAUACCAGCUGAGCGGCUAUUUACAUUCCAGCUUCUUUUGAGAAUCUCUGAAGAUGAUUAAGUCAUUGUCAGCUGGCCCAGAACCAUAUCCUGCUCCACAAGCCUCGUCCUUGGCAAGAAGUUGCACCUGCCCAGAGAGAAAACCUUUUGAAACUGGCACAAAGGCACUGGAGAGACUGGCAGGGCCCCCUACUUGACGAUCUGGCUCAUCCAUCUGCACACUGACCACGCUAAGAGCUGUCUGCAGUGAUGGAAACCUUCUCUAGCUGUGCUGUCCUCUAUAGUGGCACCAGCUGCCUGUGGCUACUGAGCACUUCAACUGUGGCUGCAGAGACUAUGUUAAAUUGUAUUUAAUCAUAAUUAAUUUAAUUGUAAACAACUACAUGUGGCUAGUGGUUUCUGUACUGGGCACUGCAGGUGCACAUUUCCUGCUGGCCAUGGACAGUAAGCUCCAUAAGAGACUAAUUGUGCCUGGUUUGCUUAUAGGCUUAUCCUCAGCACCUGCACCAGCCUAGAAUAUGAUUGGCACUCUAUUAAUUAAAAGUUCCCAGGUAAAUGAAUUAGUGGAUUCUCUGUUUCCUCCACUAUGCCACAACCUCCUUAAGGGCAGAGAUGGUGUCUUCAAAAAAAAAAAAUUCUGGUCAAAAACACAUAAGAUCUACCACCUUCACCAUUGUUGUGUCCAGUUCAGUAGUAUUAACUACACUUACAUUGUGAUACAACAAAAGAUUGUGUCUUUUUACAUUCUUAGGACCCAGCACAGUGUCUGGCACAUAAUCUUAGUAAACACUGGCAGAGCACAUGCCUUUGCCAAGGCCAGAACAGAGGUUCAGUGCCAUCCAUUACCACCCUUUCACACAUCCACUGGGGCUUUAAAAACAACCUGGAAUGAAAGCUGUUGAGUCUA
rnacentral:lncRNA from 1 species